rnacentral:lncRNA from 1 species
CAGAAGUCUGGCACUUUGUGGUUGAAUUCUCUUCCCAGGGUAUCACAAUGCUCAGAGAAACAUCCCAUAAAUUGGUUCCAGAUUGAGAAGGUAUGGUGGAUAAAGCGAUGCUGCCUUGGGAAAAUAUCCAAAUGUAACUCAAAGAACCACAAGACCCUGUAACUCUCAAUUUGAAGAUGGCAUGAUAAUUUUAUACCCUAACCCUGUUCUCUGCUUGGGACACAGAACAAGGAUAGAUACAUCAUUCAGAGCCUGUUUUCUGACCACAGAAGAAUGAACCAAUAAAUUGAAAACAAACAGAUCACCAGAAAAUUUCUACUCUUUAAAAAAUAAUCACUAUACUUCCAAAUAAUCCACAUCAAAAUAGAAUUAACAAAAAAUAAUAUAAGUUAGUUGGUCUACAAUCAAAAACAAUAUUCCCAGGGCUAUAGACAGGAGGAGCCCUCUUCCAUCCGCCGCUGCCUCUAUGAAAUUCCAGCAUCAUUUUUCUGGUUUUCAUUUGGAAACAAAGCCACUAAACAGUAUCUUUGAAGAGUCUCAAAUCCAUAAAACAGAGAGCAAAUAAACUGAAAAUAGAACCGGAAAA